CACAUGCAAGUCUCAGCAAUCCAGUGAAAACGCCCUUAAAACCUCUUACAGGUCAAGGAGCCGGCAUCAGGCACAAUAAUUUUGCCCACAACGCCUAGUUUUACCACAUCUUCACAGAUUUUCAGCAGUGAUAAAAAUUGUUCAUAAGCGCCAGCUUGAACCAGUUAAAGAAAAGAGGGCCGGCCAACCCGGUGCCAGCCGCCGCGGCUAUACCGAUGGGCUCAAGUUGAUAUCAAUCGGCGUCAAGCGUGAUUAAAGAAAGAUUUAAAUUAGGACUAAAUUUAGGCUAGGCCGUAAAAAGCCUGCCUCCUAGAAACCCAAAUACGAAAGUUGCUCUAACUAUCUCUUGAACACACGACAGUUUGGGCACAAACUGGGAUUAGAUA
rnacentral:rRNA from 1 species